CGCACAUUGCGCCCUUUGGCAUUCCGAGGGGCAUGCCCGUUCGAGCGUCAUUAAAUCCAAUCAAGCCUGGCUUGGUAUUGGGCGCCGGGGAUUGUCCCGCGCCUCAAUUUCGUCGGCUGGCCCGUUUUGCCCAACACUAUCGUGCUAAGACUAUCGUCCACGUUUGAGGGGACGGACCACGCCGUUAAAACGUUCAAUUUAAUUGAUUAAGGUUGACCUCGGAUCGGGUAGGAAUACCCGCUGAACUUAA
rnacentral:misc_RNA from 1 species